GACUCUCGGCAACGGAUAUCUCGGCUCUUGCAUCGAUGAAGAACGUAGCGAAAUGCGAUACUUGGUGUGAAUUGCAGAAUCCCGUGAACCAUCGAGUCUUUGAAUGCAAGUUGCGCCCGAAGCCAAUAGGCCGAGGGCACGCCUGCCUGGGUGUUG
rnacentral:rRNA from 1 species